rnacentral:rRNA from 1 species
AUGUCAUGGCAUAAUUUUUUAUCCCGUUUGGAUGCGAUUAGCCUGACAGAAGGCCGGGAUGUGUUUCGCUGGAACCUUACUACAUCAGGGUCUUUCACCGUAAACUCUAUGUAUUGUGUGCUCACACAUUUUGAGGUACCUAUGAAUAAUAAAAAAAAUUGGAGGUCGAAGGUACCACUAAAAGUUAAAGCCUUCAUGUGGUAUCUUCAUAGGGGCGUUGUGCUAACCAAAGACAACCUCGCACGGCAUAAUUGGCAAGGGAGUAAGAAGUAUUGUUUUUGUACUCAUGAUGAGACAAUCAGACAUAUCUUUUUCCAAUGCAACUUUGCACGUUCUACGUGGUCAGUCAUCCAAAUAGCGUCAAGUUUAUAUCAGCCCACAAGUGUUGCCAAUGUUUUUGGUCAUUGGUUGGACGAUGUUUCAAAUAGGUUCAAAACGCUAUUAAGGAUGGGAAUGUAUGCCUUACUAUGGUCGCUCUGGCUACGUAGAGAUGAUUUUGGUUUUAAUGAAAAAAAUGCUUCUCCUUUGCGGGCUAUUUUCCGUUGUACGCACCUCGCUUCGUACGUGGUCUAUGCUACAACGAGCGGAGGUCCAACCGAUGUUCAAGCCGGUGUAUACGCGAUUGGAGCAGGUGGCUACGGUGGUUUUUACCCAACAUGGGUGGCAGCAUAA